rnacentral:misc_RNA from 1 species
AUAGGUCUUCAAGUGGACAUUACACUUGACCCACACACACUGUGAACCGUGGCUUCGGCCCAAACUAUUAGUCGUAAUGAAUGUAUAACAUGAUAACAAAAAA